CCUACGGGUGGCAGCAGUGAGGAAUAUUGGUCAAUGGACGCAAGUCUGAACCAGCCAUGCCGCGUGCAGGAAGACGGCUCUAUGAGUUGUAAACUGCUUUUGUACGAGGGUAAACGCAGAUACGCGUAUCUGUCUGAAAGUAUCGUACGAAUAAGGAUCGGCUAACUCCGUGCCAGCAGCCGCGGUAAUACGGAGGAUUCAAGCGUUAUCCGGAUUUAUUGGGUUUAAAGGGUGCGUAGGCGGUCGGAUAAGUUAGAGGUGAAAUCCCGAGGCUCAACUUCGGAAUUGCCUCUGAUACUGUUCGGCUAGAGAGUAGUUGCGGUAGGCGGAAUGUAUGGUGUAGCGGUGAAAUGCUUAGAGAUCAUACAGAACACCGAUUGCGAAGGCAGCUUGCUGCAGCGGAACUGACGCUGAUGCUCGAAAGCGCGGGUAUCGAACAGGAUUAGAUACCCGGGUAGUC
rnacentral:rRNA from 1 species